AGAGUUUGAUCAUGGCUCAGAACGAACGCUGGCGGCGUGCCUAACACAUGCAAGUCGAGCGCGAAUGGGGGCAACCCCUAGUAGAGCGGCGCACGGGUGCGUAACACGUGGGUAAUCUGCCCAGAAGACCGGGACAACCUUCCGAAAGGAUGGCUAAUACCGGAUAAGCCUACGGGGUCUUUGGACCCUGAAGGAAAAGGUGGCCUCUGUAUACAAGCUAUCACUUCUGGAUGAGCCCGCGGCCCAUCAGCUAGUUGGCGGGGUAAUGGCCCACCAAGGCAACGACGGGUAGCUGGUCUGAGAGGACGAUCAGCCACACUGGAACUGAGACACGGUCCAGACUCCUACGGGAGGCAGCAGUGGGGAAUUUUGCACAAUGGGCGAAAGCCUGAUGCAGCAACGCCGCGUGUGUGAUGAAGGUCUUCGGAUUGUAAAGCACUUUCGACCGGGACGAAACCCCGUUGGCUAACAUCCAACGGCUUGACGGUACCGGGAGAAGAAGCACCGGCUACUCUGUGCCAGCAGCCGCGGUA
rnacentral:rRNA from 1 species